CUUGCAAUUCACCGCAACGCUACUCUGUUUACCAGGUCAGGUCCGGAAGGAAGCAGCCAGAGCAGACGACGUGUGUGCCGGGAUGUAGCUGGCAG
rnacentral:SRP_RNA from 1 species